rnacentral:rRNA from 1 species
ACCAAAACUAGCCCAACCAACUACCAACUCAAUUACUACAAUUAAUCUUCAAUCAAAACAUUUAGUACUACGAUUAUAGUAUAGGAGAUAGAAAUUCUACUUGGAGCUAUAGAGGAAGUACCGUAAGGGAAUGAUGAAAGAAAAUUUAAAGUAAUAAACAGCAAAGAUUACCCCUUGUACCUUUUGCAUAAUGAAUUAGCUAGAAUAAUUUAGCAAAGAGACCUUAAGCUAACCUUCCCGAAACCAGACGAGCUACCUAUAAACAAUCCACAGGGAUAAACUCAUCUAUGUCGCAAAAUAGUGAGAAGAUUUAUAGGUAGAGGUGAAAAGCCUAACGAGCCUGGUGAUAGCUGGUUACCCAGAAUAGAAUUUCAGUUCAACUUUAAACUUGCCUAACAACUUUAAAAUUAUAAUGUAAGUUUAAAAUAUAAUCUAAAAAGGUACAGCUUUUUAGAACAAGGCUACAACCUUAGUUAGAGAGUAAAACAUAAUAUAACCAUAGUAGGCCUAAGAGCAGCCACCAAUUAAGAAAGCGUUCAAGCUCAACAAUAUUAUCCUCCCAAAAAUCCCAAAAAUCUUAAUCAACUCCUAAUAUAUCACUGGGUUAAUCUAUUUUAUAAUAGAGGCAAUAAUGCUAACAUGAGUAACAAGAAAUAUUUCUCCUUGCAUAAGCUUAUAACAGUCAACGAAUACCCACUGAUAGUUAACAACACGACAAAAAUAAAUCACCAAUAAAACACUUGUCAAACCAAUUGUUAGCCCAACACAGGUAUGCAUCAAGGAAAGAUCAAAAGAAGUAAAAGGAACUCGGCAAACACAAACCCCCGCCUGUUUACCAAAAACAUCACCUCCAGCAUAUCUAGUAUUGGAGGCACUGCCUGCCCAGUGACAUUAGUUAAACGGCCGCGGUAUCCUGACCGUGCAAAGGUAGCAUAAUCAUUUGUCCUUUAAAUAAGGACUUGUAUGAAUGGCCCCACGAGGGUUUAACUGUCUCUUACUUCCAAUCAGUGAAAUUGACCUUCCCGUGAAGAGGCGGGAAUAAAAUAAUAAGACGAGAAGACCCUAUGGAGCUUCAAUUAAUUAGCCCAUAAUCACUCACUUAAAUACCAAUAGGCUUAAUACCACUUUAUUAAUGGGUUAACAAUUUAGGUUGGGGUGACCUCGGAGAACAAAAAAACCUCCGAGUGAUUUAAGCACAGACAAACCAGUCAAAGUACUCUAUCAUUUAUUGAUCCAAUAACUUGAUCAACGGAACAAGUUACCCUAGGGAUAACAGCGCAAUCCUAUUUGAGAGUUCAUAUCAACAAUAGGGUUUACGACCUCGAUGUUGGAUCAGGACAUCCUAAUGGUGCAGCAGCUAUUAAAGGUUCGUUUGUUCAACGAUUAAAGUCCUACGUGAUCUGAGUUCAGACCGGAGUAAUCCAGGUCGGUUUCUAUCUAUUACAACAUAAUAACCUCUCCCAGUACGAAAGGACAAGAGAAGUAAGGCCCCUUCUAUUAAAACGCCUUAGGACUAAUAGAUGAUAUAAUCUAAAUCUAGCCGGUCCACUUAUUUAAUAGCCCUAGAAAUAGGGCUU